CAGGGACAGCCAGUGUGAGACCAGGUCCAGGCUGCUGCAGCCAUGAUGCCUCCAUGCACUACAGCUACUGGAGUCCCAAGCUGGAGUCCAGCCUGAUUCCCACCCACAGGUUGUAACCAAUGAGCCCUAAGAGAAGCGCUGAAGACCAGGAAGGCCCAGAUCCAGGGGUAGGGGUGUUGGGUCCUCUCCACUGGGGUGCAGGCAGAGAGGCAAAGAGGAAGGAGACCCUUCGUGACUCUCAGCGAGGCUGUGAAGAAGAAUAUCCG
rnacentral:lncRNA from 1 species